GCAUAUCAAUAAGCGGAGGAAAAGAAACUAACAAGGAUUCCCCUAGUAACUGCGAGUGAAGCGGGAAAAGCUCAAAUUUAAAAGCUGGCGGUCUUUGGCCGUCCGCAUUGUAAUCUAGAGAAGUGUUACCCGCGUUGGACCGUGUACAAGUCUCCUGGAAUGGAGCGUCAUAGAGGGUGACAAUCCCGUCUUUGACACGGACUCCCAAGGCUUUGUGGUGCGCUCUCAAAGAGUCGAGUUGUUUGGGAAUGCAGCUCUAAAUGGGUGGUAAAUUCCAUCUAAAGCUAAAUAUUGGCGAGAGACCGAUAGCGAACAAGUACCGUGAGGGAAAGAUGAAAAGAACUUUGGAAAGAGAGUUAAACAGUACGUGAAAUUGCUGAAAGGGAAACGCUUGAAGUCAGUCGCGUCGUCCGGAGAUCAACCUUGCUUUUGCUGGGCGUACUCUCCGGUUGACGGGCCAGCAUCAGUUUUGGCCACUGGAAAAGGGCGGAGGAAAUGUGGCAUCCUCGGAUGUGUUAUAGUCUUCCGUCGUAUACAGUGGCUGGGACUGAGGAACUCAGCACGCCGCAAGGCCGGGAUUUAUCCACGUACGUGCUUAGGAUGCUGGCAUAAUGGCUUUAAUCGACCCGUU
rnacentral:rRNA from 1 species